rnacentral:rRNA from 1 species
UACGUAGGGUGCAAGCGUUGUCCGGAAUUAUUGGGCCUAAAGCAUCCGUAGCCGGUUUUACAAGUCCUCCGUUAAAUCCAGCUGCUUAACAGAUGGGCUGCGGAGGAUACUAUAAGACUAGGAGGCAGGAGAGGCAAGCGGUACUCAGUGGGUAGGGGUAAAAUCCGUUGAUCCAUUGAAGACCACCAGUGGCGAAGGCGGCUUGCCAGAAUGCGCUCGACGGUGAGGGAUGAAAGCUGGGGGAGCAAACCGGG